CCUUUGCCUCGGCGCCAAAGCCCACAGGAGUUUUUGCUCUUCAGAAUCCAGUCAGAUUGAUGGAAGACGCCAGACCCGGGUUUUUGUACAUCCAUUUGCACAGUACUGUACAACAAGUUUCCUUUGCUGAGUUCCUUGGUCAGGGGUUUAAAUACAUUUGCUGUCCAGUACUGCAGUUGGAAUUUUCCAUCAAUUUUUUAUGGGCAACCAAAAAGAAGAAUUUUUGAAGGACCUGACAAACAUUGCCAUGGCCAUAUGUGUCAUCAAAAGGAAGUAGGAGAUUUUGGAGAUUAUGACGACAUUGGCAUCGUUGUUGAUGGAACAGUGAUUCUUGAACAGAUAAAAUCUGUUGCACAAGCCUGUGCAUUGAUGUUGGGGGCAAUUUAUGUGCUUGAUUUGGCUCACCCAAAAGAGCUCAAAUACUAUUACGAGUUUGCCCAAAAAGUACUCAUGCAAAUGAACUCUGACAAGCUCUCCUCAAAGGUUCUCAUACUGAAAAACAGUGUGAUACUGUAAUUUGAAGCAUUGAAGUGUUGAUAAAUGCUCAACAACCAUAUGUAUAUCACAUACAAAUUGCGACUUAGUGUAGGAUAGGUUUUGUGUAGUGUAGGUUUACUUUGCUGUAGGAACUUGUUUUAAAUGUUGACUUAAGACUUGUAUUUAGUUAAAACUUUUUACAAAUUGUGUGUGUGCGUGUGUGUGUGUGUGCGUGCGUGCGUGUGUGUGUGCGUGCGUGUGUGUGUGUAAGAGAGCGAGAGCGUGCGCAUUCCAUAAACUUUGCUCAAUCUGUUAAUAAGUUAAUUUUUUAAGUUAAUCAGUUGAUUAUUUUGUGUAUUGGAGCAAACUGCAAUUCUUAUGACACACACACCAAGCCAUUCUAUGACUUCAUUGAGUUUUCUUUUAUGUGUUGGUUUAAAUUAAAUGUGAUGUACAAACAGUUUUUGUUUUAUGGUGUGCUGCUAAAGCACUUAUAGGCAGUGAUUUAUGUUUUGUUAGAAAUUGCAUCUUAAAAAGUCAUUAAAAUGAAUUCAAAACAAA